GGCUCAGAACGAACGCUGGCGGCGUGCUUAACACAUGCAAGUCGAGCGGAAAGGCCCUUCGGGGUACUCGAGCGGCGAACGGGUGAGUAACACGUGAGUAAUCUGCCCCUGACUCUGGGAUAGCUCCGGGAAACCGGGAUUAAUACCGGAUAUGACCAUCGCGGACAUCUGUGGUGGUGGAAAGUUUUUCGGUCGGGGAUGAGCUCGCGGCCUAUCAGCUUGUUGGUGGGGUAAUGGCCUACCAAGGCGACGACGGGUAGCCGGCCUGAGAGGGCGACCGGCCACAC
rnacentral:rRNA from 1 species